rnacentral:rRNA from 1 species
UUGCUUAGAAAAAUUCUUAGUGGCGGACGGGUGAGUAACGCGUGGGUAACCUACCCAUAAAUCCGGGACAACCCUUGGAAACGAGGGCUAAUACCGGAUAAUCUUAGAGCCUGGCAUCAGGCAUUAAGGAAAGAUGGCCUCUGAAGAUGCUAUCGAUUAUGGAUGGACCCGCGUCUGAUUAGCUAGUUGGUGGGGUAAAGGCCUACCAAGGCGACGAUCAGUAGCCGGCCUGAGAGGGUGAACGGCCACACUGGGACUGAGACACGGCCCAGACUCCUACGGGAGGCAGCAGUGGGGAAUCUUCCGCAAUGGACGAAAGUCUGACGGAGCAACGCCGCGUGUAUGAUGAAGGUCUUCGGAUUGUAAAGUACUGUCUUUGGGGAAGAACGGUGGCUUUGAAAAUAUUGAGCCACAUGACGGUACCCAAGGAGGAAAGCCCCGGCUAAUUACGUGCCAGCAGCCGCGGUAAUACGUAGGGGGCAAGCGUUGUCCGGAAUUAUUGGGCGUAAAGGGCGCGUAGGCGGAUUGUUAAGUCCGGUGUGAAAGAUCAGGGCUCAACCCUGAGAGUGCAUCGGAAACUGGG